CGGCACGUAGCUCAAGAGCAGAGCACCCGGCUCCGGCCUGGAGGGUGCGGGGGCAGGACCCGCCGUGCCGG
rnacentral:tRNA from 1 species